AACGCGAAGAACCUUACCCAGGUUUGACAUCCUUGGAAUUUCUUCGAAAGGAGAAAGUGCUUUAUUGAGCCAAGUGACAGGUGUUGCAUGGCCGUCUUCAGCUCGUGUCGUGAGAUGUUUGGUUAAGUCCAUCAACGAGCGCAACCCUUAUAGUUAGUUGAAUUUUUCUAGCUAGACUGCCCUGGUAACAGGGAGGAAGGAGGGGAUGAUGUCAGGUCAGUAUUACCCUUAUAUCUGGGGCUACAAACACGCUACAAUGGCCGGUACAAAGGGCUGCCAAGUCGCGAGACGGAGCAAAUCCCAUCAAAGCCGGUCUCAGUUCGGAUAGUAGGCUGAAACUCGCCUGCUUGAAGCUGGAAUCGCUAGUAACGGUGAGUCAGCACAUCACCGUGAAUACGUUCCCGGGCCUUGUACACACCGUGUCGA
rnacentral:rRNA from 1 species